ACAAGAUGCAGGCAGGAAAGCUUUGCACAGGCAAUGCUGGCUGCUGCCAGAUUUGGUCUAUAUUUAUCCUAUUUCACAGCAGGAUUUAACAUCAUGGUGAAUGUUACUGAUCCUCCUAAGGCUAUCUUCAUGGCUGCCAGUGUCACAGAACUUGGAGCUGACUCAUCACUGUGAUGACAGUGAACAUGUUUUGGAAUGAAAUAAUGAUGAUGGGACAAGCUCCUUCUUACUUGUUUAUCCACUCUGGCUGCCAGAGCUAAGCCUCAUUUGAACUCAUCUGAACCAUUCUGGGCUGUGCACCACUCCUGAGGACACGGAGCCAUUUCUUUACAAAACAUGAAGGGAUUGCUUUGAAUUUCCACGAGCUCUCUUGUCAGCUCUUCCUCCUUUUUUUUUUCUCAGCAAAACGAACCAGCCUUCACUGCAGUGUUUUCCCCUGAUGCUGUCACACCUAAGCUGCAUAAAUGAUAGUUUUUCUUCCAAGGUUUUCUGUCUGAGCGACAUGUGGUAUGAUAAGGAUAUCCUUUCCUCCCUAAGUUCUCAUCUCUGCGUACACUCUCUCCCCAAAUCAUUUGGGAUUUCUGGAGGAAAUCGUCAGAACAUCACAACUAUAUUUAUUCCUUGACACUGAGAAACAUCUUUAAAAACAGCAGAAAAUAGGAGAUGUGUCUGUACUUAAGUUGUGAAGAGAGAAGGGCAAGAGUGAGCAAUGCAGAACCUCUUCAUGCUAGCAGCAACAACUGUGCUUUUCUGGACAGAAAGUCUUUCCUGGCCAUUUAUUCUGGAGCAUUUUACAGUUUGGAGGGCCAGCAGAGAGGAAGGCAUUUCUUAUGUCUGGAAAUUGGUAAGGCAGUGGUGGUGUUUUACAGAGUCCACGCUUUCAACUCUGCCUUGUGAUCCUGUGAUGUUCUUGUUUGCAUUUUAGCAAAAUCAAAUCUCUACAUCUUGAGAUGGGCACAGUAUGACAAUAUAGACUCCUAAAUGUUUUAGCACUUUGAAUUCUCAGCCCUGUUUAAAAAAAAAAAAACUGUGAUAAUGUCAUUAAAGAUAAUUCCUUUAUGAACAUUAAAGCCACUGAUGAAUGCAGUCCCACUCUCCACAGCCUUGCAGUACAUCACCCUUCAGCUGGUAGCCCUGUCCGUCCCUACAGCAGUGAGAAAAGUAGAUACAUCAGGAGCAAAUUAGUUUGGCAGGGCAGGGAAGGCAGGAUGGAGCUUCCAUGCAUUGGAGGUGGAGGCAGGCACAGGCUGCAAAGGAGGCAUUUAGAAAUAUUGCCUGGGUGUGUAGGGAUAUGUCAGGAAAGCCCGAUGGCACUUGGAUUUGAGACUUGCAAAGAACAUCAUGGGCAACAAGUAGAGCUUCUACUACUGGAUUAGCAAUAGUCCAAAUAAGGAACAUGUGAGCCAUUUGCUGAGUGGGGUGAGUGAUGCAGCAACAGCAGGCAAUGAGACUGAAGAACUUGAUGCUUUCUUUGCUUCUGUCAGCAGGGUCUCUUGAGCCUCUCUGCCUAGGGAAGGUGUUCAAGGAGAAAAACAACCAGCAGUGGAUAAGUAUCUAUUGAGGGACUGCUUCUAUGACAAUUUGGUCCACACAAGUCCAUGGAAUGAGACAGGAUGCACCUGAAAGAGCUGAGAGAAUUGGAUGAUGCCCUUGUAAGGCUGCUUUUAAUUUUCUGUAUUAAUACAAAUCAAUAAUAAUCCAGUCCAUGUGUAAUUCAGCUCUGUUCACGUGAGCUACGCCCUUACUUUCCAUAAUGCAGAUGAGAACACUGCAGCUCUGCUGUUUGUUUGAUGCAACUGCCCUGCUCAGAAGCCCACCUCAGGACAGCACCAUCUCCCCAUAACUACUCUCUUCACAUGAACUUUUCAAGGUCACUGACUGCCUGAGCAACUCUUUUAUGCAAUUUCCUACCAUUAAGUACAGUAGAAGCAAGUCAGCCUUGGUACUUUAUUUAUAGAUCCUGGAGUUCUUGCAUUCUAUUAACCAGGGCAGAAAUGGGAUGAAUUUUUUAUCCAUUAUGGACCUUGUGCUGCAUAAAAUAUUGUGCAUUUUUGCAGGAGGCUCUACUGUUUUAACCUUUGACACGUAAUUAAUGAUUCAGCUACUGGUGUUCUACAGAUGUCUUGUAUAAGGCUUGUGUGGUGUAUGUGUAUUUAUCCACUUCGUAUUCAUUCAAUAUAUUAAAUUGACUUUGUUUGUAAUGAGAA